AAUUACCUCGGCAAAUCCAACACCAUCAGUCCACCCUUAAGCUUCUACAACUCUCUUACUUUCCGAUUCAACGCAGCAAUCGUGAUGUGACGACCCAAAACUUUCACAAUCAUACAGCGCCGGUACAAACCAUUCAUCGCAUCCAAUACUUCUCUCCCAAUUUUGACCACAGCCUCGCCAUCUUCACCGCUUGGAAACUCCAAGCUCAUACGUGACAUCACAAAGCCCUCUUCUACAACCAUCUCCGGGAUCGGAAUCCCUCCUCCGUUACAGCCCUGAACUUUCUCAACCCACAGCCUAGAUCCAUCUGAACUCAACCCAGGUGGCCGACCAUCCUCUUCCAUCGAUUCAUCUUGUUCCCUUGUGUCUGUAACCCUAGCACCGCCAGAGCUCGUGUCGCCCAUAACAGAAGUGUGUUAUAAUACUAGUUUUCCAUAUCUCAGAUAUUGGAGAGAAGUUCUUGAAGGUUGAUCAGAUGCAUUUUU
rnacentral:lncRNA from 1 species